GACGUAGGGCGCAAGCGUUGUCCGGAUUUAUUGGGCGUAAAGAGCUCGUAGGCGGCUUGUCGCGUCGACUGUGAAAACCUGCGGCUCAACCGUAUGGUCUGCAGUCGAUACGGGCAGGCUAGAGUUCGGUAGGGGAGACUGGAAUUCCUGGUGUAGCGGUGAAAUGCGCAGAUAUCAGGAAGAACACCGGUGGCGAAGGCGGCAUCCUGGACCGAGAUUGACGCUGAGGCGCGAAAGCCAGGGGAGCAAACGGG
rnacentral:rRNA from 1 species